rnacentral:rRNA from 1 species
GAUCCUGGCUCAGGAUGAACGCUAGCUACAGGCUUAACACAUGCAAGUCGAGGGGAAACGACAUCGAAAGCUUGCUUUUGAUGGGCGUCGACCGGCGCACGGGUGAGUAACGCGUAUCCAACCUGCCCAUCACUUGGGAAUAACCUUGCGAAAGUAAAGACUAAUACCCAAUGACAUCCCACGAAGACAUCUGAAUGGGAUUAAAGAUUUAUCGGUGAUGGAUGGGGAUGCGU